rnacentral:rRNA from 1 species
AUUGAACGCUGGCGGCAUGCUUUACACAUGCAAGUCGAACGGUAACAGCACUUCGGUGGCUGACGAGUGGCGAACGGGUGAGUAAUACAUCGGAACGUGCCUAGUAGUGGGGGAUAACUACUCGAAAGAGUAGCUAAUACCGCAUGAGAUCUAAGGAUGAAAGCAGGGGACCUUCGGGCCUUGCGCUACUAGAGCGGCUGAUGGCAGAUUAGGUAGUUGGUGGGAUAAAAGCUUACCAAGCCGACGAUCUGUAGCUGGUCUGAGAGGACGACCAGCCACAUGGGAACUGGGACACGGCCCAGACUCCUACGGGAGGCAGCAGUGGGGAAUUUUGGACAAUGGGCGCAAGCCUGAUCCAGCAAUGCCGCGUGCAGGAUGAAGGCCUUCGGGUUGUAAACUGCUUUUGUACGGAACGAAAAGCCCUCUUCUAAUACAGGGGGGUCAUGACGGUACCGUAAGAAUAAGCACCGGCUAACUACGUG